rnacentral:rRNA from 1 species
UACGUAGGGUGCAAGCGUUGUCCGGAAUUAUUGGGCGUAAAGAGCUCGUAGGCGGCUUGUCACGUCGACUGUGAAAACCCGGGGCUCAACUCCGGGCCUGCAGUCGAUACGGGCUGGCUUGAGUGCGGUAGGGGAGACUGGAAUUCCUGGUGUAGCGGUGAAAUGCGCAGAUAUCAGGAGGAACACCGGUGGCGAAGGCGGGUCUCUGGGCCGUAACUGAUGCUGAGGAGCGAAAGCGUGGGGAGCGAACAGG